CCUACGGGCGGCAGCAGUGAGGAAUAUUGGCCAAUGGCCGCAGGGCUGAACCAGCCAAGUCGCGUGAGGGAUUACGGUCCUAUGGAUUGUAAACCUCUUUUGUCAGGGAGCAAAGGGCGCCACGUGUGGCGUUUUGCGAGUACCUGAAGAAAAAGCAUCGGCUAACUCCGUGCCAGCAGCCGCGGUAAUACGGAGGAUGCGAGCGUUGUCCGGAUUUAUUGGGGUUAAGGUGUGCGCAGUGGGAAUGUCAAUUCAGCGGUAAAAUGUCGGGGCUCAACCCCGGAGUGCAGUUGAAACUGGCGUUCUUGAGUGAGCGAGAAGUAAGCGGAAUGCGUGGUGUAGCAGUGAAAUGCAUAGAUAUCACGCAGAACUCCGAUUGCGAAGGCAGCAUACCGGCGCUCAACUGACGCUCAUGCACGAAAGCGUGGGUAUCGAACAGGAUUAGAUACCCUGGUAGUC
rnacentral:rRNA from 1 species